UGAGACCCAUAUUUAUGUAUCAAUCAAACUCCAGCAGCCCCCCUACGAGCAGCAAUGUCAUCUUAAUCAAAUGACCAAUCACACAACUAUAGCAUUAAAAUGAUCAUUGACGAUCGAGUAGAAAUCCAAGUAAUCGCUCGUAUGGUCAUGCUCAGUACUAGUUAUUCUCUAAUAACUACCCACACUCAUCAUCCAAUAUCUCUAUACUAUAGACUAAAGACUCAUCUAUCCUGAAGGAAGCAAUCUGUAUGUCAGUCUAUCUGGAUCGAUCACCAUUCUCAUGAUGAUCCUA
rnacentral:lncRNA from 1 species